rnacentral:rRNA from 1 species
GCCAGCAGCAAUUUCACCCUGCUACACACACCUGGCAGCCCACUGAAGCUCAGCAGGUAUAAUCCUGGUCAGUACCUGGAUGGGAGACCUCCUGGGAAAAACUAAGGUUGCUGCUGGAA